rnacentral:rRNA from 1 species
UACAGAGGUCUCAAGCGUUGUUCGGAUUCAUUGGGCGUAAAGGGUGCGUAGGCGGCGCGGUAAGUCGGGUGUGAAAUCUCGGAGCUUAACUCCGAAACUGCAUUCGAUACUGCCGUGCUUGAGGACUGGAGAGGAGACUGGAAUUUACGGUGUAGCGGUGAAAUGCGUAGAUAUCGUAAGGAAGACCAGUGGCGAAGGCGGGUCUCUGGACGGUAACUGACGCUGAGGCACGAAGGCCAGGGGAGCAAACGGG